rnacentral:rRNA from 1 species
AUACGUAGGGGGCUAGCGUUAUCCGGAAUUACUGGGCGUAAAGGGUGCGUAGGUGGUUUCUUAAGUCAGGAGUGAAAGGCUACGGCUUAAUCGUAGUAAGCUCUUGAAACUGGGAAACUUGAGUGCAGGAGAGGAAAGUGGAAUUCCUAGUGUAGCGGUGAAAUGCGUAGAUAUUAGGAGGAACACCAGUGGCGAAGGCGACUUACUGGACUGAAACUGACGCUGAGGCUCGAAAGCGUGGGGAGC